GAUGAAGAACGCAGCGAAAUGCGAUAAGUAAUGUGAAUUGCAUAAUUCCGCGAAUCAUCGAAUCUUUGAACGCAACUUGCGCUCUCGGGUAUUCCCGGGAGCAUACCUGUUUGAGUAUCAGUAACACCCUCACCUACCAACUGUGGUUGGAAAGUGGUAUUGGGCAUUCAAGUCGUCAGACUUGCCGCCUGGAAAAUAUUCGGUGCCGGUUAAAAGUAUUUUUACUUUCAAAGGCAAGCUAGGAACAGUUAGUUCUGAAGGCCGGCGAAUGGGAAAAGCUUUUGGCUGUAGUGCUGUCUAUAAACUACACAUUUUGUGUGAAUUUGAUCUCAAAUCAGGUAGGACUACCCGCUGAACUUAAGCAUAUCAAUAAGCGGAGGA
rnacentral:misc_RNA from 1 species